rnacentral:rRNA from 1 species
CCUACGGGGGGCAGCAGUGGGGAAUAUUGGACAAUGGGGGCAACCCUGAUCCAGCCAUGCCGCGUGUGUGAAGAAGGCCCUCGGGUUGUAAAGCACUUUCAGUGAGGAAGAACGCCUGGUGGUUAAUACCCAUCAGGAAAGACAUCACUCACAGAAGAAGCACCGGCUAACUCCGUGCCAGCAGCCGCGGUAAUACGGAGGGUGCGAGCGUUAAUCGGAAUUACUGGGCGUAAAGCGCGCGUAGGUGGCUUGAUAAGCCGGUUGUGAAAGCCCCGGGCUCAACCUGGGAACGGCAUCCGGAACUGUCAAGCUAGAGUGCAGGAGAGGAAGGUAAAAUUCCCGGUGUAGCGGUGAAAUGAGUAGAGAUCGGGAGGAAUACCAGUGGCGAAGGCGGCCUUCUGGACUGACACUGACACUGAGGUGCGAAAGCGUGGGUAGCAAACAGGAUUAGAUACCCCUGUAGUC